CUGGAACGCGCUUCGGCGCACCCAGAAACCCUUUGUGAACUUAUACCUUACUGUUGCCUCGGCGCAGGCCGGCCUCACCGAGGCCCCUCGGAAACGAGGAGCAGCCCGCCGGCGGCCAACCAAACUCUUGUUUCUUAGUGAAUCUCUGAGUAAAAAAAACAUAAAUGAAUCA
rnacentral:misc_RNA from 1 species